CCCCACCCAGUGGGGACAGAAGACAACUUAAUUCCACAAAGUUGGACCCCCAAGGGAAGUGGGGAGGUGAGAGGGAAAGAAGGAUGUGGUCUCCAUCUAAAGUCAAGAUCUCUUCCCCAAAAGCUAGAGGUAAACUUGCCCAGCUCGGACUAGGCCUAGAGAGGCUGAAUGAUGUGGCAUCACCCGGAAACAGCGUUUGCCCUCCUUAUCCUCUUCCCUUCUGCCUGAAAACACUAAUCCAGAUGAUGGACAAUGAUUCAAUUAGUCAUCUUCUCUGAUGGGGGCUGAGAUCCAGGCUGGGAUCCCGUGGAAGUGCCGGGCAACCCUCUCUGCAAGUGGCUCUGUGCUCCCUCAUCACCAAGGACCCAUGUCCACCUUGGGUUUCACUUUGGCAUUGCUUCUCCUCAGCUACUUCUCAGUUACUUGUCCUCAUUUGGAGAGAUGGAUAUCCGGCUGGGAGCAUCCCCUACCCGCUGGGAGAGUGGGUCUACAGCUCAGUAAGACAUGUGGACCAGGGCCUCAGAAUGUGGGUAAAUGUGAGUC
rnacentral:antisense_RNA from 1 species